AGUGGGCGCUGUCUGCAGUAAGCAGGAAGCGUGUGUGUGCGAGAGAGAUGAUGGAAGGCACGCGUAACUCUCUGCCGUCUCUGCCCAAACACUCGUACUGGUUUGAUUUCUGGCUCUUUCUGCUGUUUGAUAUCUUCCUGUUUUUGAUCAUUUACUUGAUCAUCCCGUGAGCGAUCUCAGAGUCUCAGAACGAGAGCUGGAGAUGCAGGAGAGGAAUGGCAUCAUCCACAGGAUCUUCAACACAGUUCUGCUUGACUGACGACACUGAAUACUGCUUACUAACGUCAAGUGCACUAACAAAACUACAUCAGACUGUUUCCCUUGAUUCCACUGUACUACACAUUCCUACAUUGAGAGGAGAUCAACAUGUGACCGGAGGUUUUAUUUACAUUGUCCUGUAAUAAGAAAGAAAAUAAUGUGUAUGAAUGAGGAGAAAUUAAAUCCAUGUGACUUACCCAC